AUUGAACGCUGGCGGCAGGCCUAACACAUGCAAGUCGAGCGGAGCGGGGGACGGGGGAGUAAUGCCUAUGUAUCUGCCUGGUAGUGGGGGAUAACGUCCGGAAACGGGCGCUAAUACCGCAUACUAUCGGAUGCGCCUAGGUGGGAUUAGCUAUUUGGUGGGGUAAGGGCCUACCAAGUCGACGAUCCGUAACCGGUCGGAGAGGAUGAGCAGCCCGACUUGAACUGAGACACGGUCCAGACUCCGACGGGAGGCAGCAGUGGGGAAUAUUGGACAAUGGGCGAAAGCCUGAUGCAGCCAUGCCGCGUGUGUGAAGAAGGCCUUCGGAUUGUAAAGCACUUUCAGCUGGGAGGCGUUACCCACAGAAGAAGCACCGGCUAACUCCGUGCCAGCAGCCGCGGUAAUAC
rnacentral:rRNA from 1 species